rnacentral:tRNA from 1 species
CGGGGUGUAGUAUAACGGUUAGUAUUUACCCUUGGGGUGGGUAAAACCCGGGUUCAACUCCCGGCACCCCGA